AACGUAGGAGACAAACGUUAUCCGGAGUUACUGGGCGUAAAGCGUCUGUAGGUGGCUUUUUAAGUCCGCCGUCAAAUCCCAGGGCUCAACUCUGGACAGGCGGUGGAAACUACCAAGCUGGAGUACGGUAGGGGCAGAGGGAAUUCCCGGUGUAGCGGUGAAAUGCGCAGAGAUCGGGAGGAACACCCGUAGCGAAGGCGGCACUCUGGGCCGGUACUGACGCUGAGGAGCGAAAGCGUGGGGAGCAAACAGG
rnacentral:rRNA from 1 species